CUUUGUCUAUAUGGCAAAUGUGAGAUGCAGUGUAGGAAACAUCAAUUAUCUAGUAUGAGAAAUUAACGAUUUAAGUCCUUCUUAAAUGAGGCCAUUUACCCAAAGAGGGUGCCAGGCCCGUAUAACGUUAAUGAUUACUGGAUGAUGUUUUCAAAGAGUCGUGUUGCUUGAUAGUGCAGCACUAAGUGGGUGGUAAACUCCAUCUAAAACUAAAUAUAACCAUGAGACCGAUAGUAAACAAGUACCGUGAGGGAAAGUUGAAAAGAACUCUGAAUAGAGAGUUAAAUAGUACGUGAAACUGCUUAGAGGUUAAGCCCGAUGAACCUGAAUAUCCAUUAUGGAAAAUUCAUCAUUAGAAUUGUAAUAUUUAAACAAUAUUAUAAUAAUAGUGUGCAUUUUUUCCAUAUAAGGACAUUGUAAUCUAUUAGUAUAAUAAAUUUAUCAUACAAUUAUGGCUUAUAGUUUAUUUUGAUUAUUUUGCUUGCAUUUUAAUUUAAGAUAAAUGUUGUAAAUUUGAUAAAGUACUGAUAGAUUAAUAUGAAUACAGUGCGUUAAUUUUUCGGAAUUAUAUAAUGGCAUAAUUAUCAUUGAUUUUUGUGUUUAUUAUAUGCACUUGUAUGAUUAACAAUGCGAAAGAUUCAGGAUACCUUCGGGACCCGUCUUGAA
rnacentral:rRNA from 1 species